rnacentral:rRNA from 1 species
GACGAACGCUGGCGGCGUGCUUAACACAUGCAAGUCGAACGGAAAGGCCCUGCUUUUGUGGGGUGCUCGAGUGGCGAACGGGUGAGUAACACGUGAGUAACCUGCCCUUGACUUUGGGAUAACUUCAGGAAACUGGGGCUAAUACCGGAUAGGAGCUCCUGCUGCAUGGUGGGGGUUGGAAAGUUUCGGCGGGUGGGGAUGGACUCGCGGCUUAUCAGCUUGUUGGUGGGGUAGUGGCUUACCAAGGCUUUGACGGGUAGCCGGCCUGAGAGGGUGACCGGCCACAGUGGGACUGAGAUACGGCCCAGACUGCUACGGGAGGCAGCAGUGGGGAAUAUUGCACAAUGGGCGGAAGCCUGAUGCAGCAACGCCGCGUGCGGGAUGACGGCCUUCGGGUUGUAAACCGCUUUCGCCUGUGACGAAGCGUGAGUGACGGUAAUGGGUAAAGAAGCACCGGCUAACUACGUG